CUUAAGGAUUCAUUCUGACCUUUUCUUGGCUCUAGGAAGCAUUGAUGUGCACCAGCUAUGCUUUACCUAUAAACAUUGCUAUGGGCUCCAGUGAAGACGAAAUCAGGCUGAGGAAUUUAAUUACUUUGCUUAUCUCCUGAAAGCCAUAAAAGGAGCAGCUUUAUCAACAGCCCAUUCCAAAGAAGACGACUUUAGAAGACAGUGGGAACCAGUUUGGCAGCUGAACUAUUCUGGAAAAUUCUGUGGGGAGGAAAAAGCCCAUCAGCACUUUCUUUCUAAAUUAAAGGCAGAGACAUUGUGGGG
rnacentral:lncRNA from 1 species